rnacentral:rRNA from 1 species
AUUGAACGCUGGCGGCAGGCUUAACACAUGCAAGUCGAGCGGAGCGAGGGUGCUUGCACCUUAGCUUAGCGGCGGACGGGUGAGUAAUGCUUAGGAAUCUGCCUAUUAGUGGGGGACAACAUUCCGAAAGGAAUGCUAAUACCGCAUACGCCCUACGGGGGAAAGCAGGGGAUCUUCGGACCUUGCGCUAAUAGAUGAGCCUAAGUCGGAUUAGCUAGUUGGUGGGGUCAAGGCCUACCAAGGCGACGAUCUGUAGCGGGUCUGAGAGGAUGAUCCGCCACCCUGGGACUGAGGGACGGCCCAGACUCCUACGGGAGGCAGCAGUGGGGAAUAUUGGACAAUGGGCGGAAGCCUGAUCCAGCCAUGCCGCGUGUGUGAAGAAGGCCUUUUGGUUGUAAAGCACUUUAAGCGAGGAGGAGGCUCUUAAGGUUAAUACCCUUGAUGAGUGGACGUUACUCGCAGAAUAAGCACCGGCUAACUCUGUGCCAGUCGCCGCGGUAACAC